UACGAAGGGGGCAAGCGUUGUUCGGAAUUACUGGGCGUAAAGCGUGCGCAGGCGGUUCGCUGUGUCCUGUGUGAAAGCCCCGGGCUUAACCUGGGAAUGGCAUGGGAAACUGGCGGGCUGGAGUGUGGCAGAGGGGGGUGGAAUUCCGCGUGUAGCAGUGAAAUGCGUAGAGAUGCGGAGGAACACCGAUGGCGAAGGCAGCCCCCUGGGCUAACACUGACGCUCAGGCACGAAAGCGUGGGGAGCAAACAGG
rnacentral:rRNA from 1 species